AUUGGGUGGAGGAACUGUAGCUCUUUUAACGUAUGUAUUGCGGGAUUGGAGGGAAUUAUCAACCACAACUUGUGUUACAUUUGCUCCAGCUGCUUGUAUGACUUGGGAACUGGCAGAGCCAGGGAAUGAUUUCAUUACUUGUGUCAUAAAUGGAGCUGACUUAGUGCAAACUUUCUUUGCUAUUUCAGUGGAUGUUGCGUGCUGAGGUUAUGUUCCUACUUAGUUCAACUACUGCCUUAUUUUGAGGAGAGGAACAAAUGGAGAACAUUCUCAAUCAGGAGCCUGAAGAAGGUUCUCAGCCACCUAUUCAAUUAGAGAUCACUCAACAGGUA